AUUGAACGCUGGCGGCAGGCCUAACACAUGCAAGUCGAGCGGAUGAAGGGAGCUUGCUCCUGGAUUCAGCGGCGGACGGGUGAGUAAUGCCUAGGAAUCUGCCUGGUAGUGGGGGAUAACGUCCGGAAACGGGCGCUAAUACCGCAUACGUCCUGAGGUAGAACGUGGGGGAUCUUCGGACCUCACGCUAUCAGAUGAGCCUAGGUCGGAUUAGCUAGUUGGUGGGGUAAAGGCCUACCAAGGCGACGAUCCGUAACUGGUCUGAGAGGAUGAUCAGUCACACUGGAACUGAGACACGGUCCAGACUCCUACGGGAGGCAGCAGUGGGGAAUAUUGGACAAUGGGCGAAAGCCUGAUCCAGCCAUGCCGCGUGUGUGAAGAAGGUCUUCGGAUUGUAAAGCACUGUAAGUUGGGAGGAAGGGCAGUAAGUUAAUACCUUGCUGUUUUGACGGUACCAACAGAAUAAGCACCGGCUAACUUCGUG
rnacentral:rRNA from 1 species